UACGAAGGGGGCUAGCGUUGUUCGGAAUCACUGGGCGUAAAGCGCACGUAGGCGGACUUUCAAGUCAGGGGGUGAAAUCCCGGGGCUCAACCUCGGAAUUGCCUUUGAUACUGUAGGUCUCGAGUCCGGAAGAGGUGGGUGGAAUUCCUAGUGUAGAGGUGAAAUUCGUAGAUAUUAGGAAGAACACCGGUGGCGAAGGCGGCCCACUGGUCCGGUACUGACGCUGAGGUGCGAAGCGUGGG
rnacentral:rRNA from 1 species